rnacentral:rRNA from 1 species
AUUGAACGCUGGCGGCAUGCUUUACACAUGCAAGUCGAACGAGCGGGGAACGGGUGAGUAAGAUAUUGGAUCGUAGCGAGUGAUGGGGGACAACCAAUCGAAAGAUUGGCUAAUACCGCAUAAUAUUCGAGCGGCGGAUUACUGAUUAGCUAGUUGGUGGGGUAAAGGCCUACCAAGGCGACGAUCAGUAGCGGGUCUGAGAGGACGAUCCGCCACACUGGGACUGAGACACGGCCCAGACUCCUACGGGAGGCAGCAGUGGGGAAUUUUGGACAAUGGGGGAAACCCUGAUCCAGCCAUGCCGCGUGUAUGAAGAAGGCCUUCGGGUUGUAAAGUACUUUUGUUAGGGAAGCGGUACCUAAAGAAUAAGCACCGGCUAACUACGUGCCAGCAGCCGCGGUAAUUC